rnacentral:rRNA from 1 species
UUACCCUACGGGCGCAGCAGUGGGGACUAUUGCACAAUGGGGGGAACCCUGAUGCAGCGACGCCGCGUGAGUGAAGAAGUAUCUCGGUACGUAAAGCUCUAUCAGCAGGGAAGAAAAUGACGGUACCUGACUAAGAAGCCCCGGCUAACUACGUGCCAGCAGCCGCGGUAAUACGUAGGGGGCAAGCGUUAUCCGGAUUUACUGGGUGUAAAGGGAGCGUAGACGGCACUGCAAGUCCGGAGUGAAAGCCCAAGGCUUAACAAUGGGACUGCUC